AACUCCUGGGCUCAAGUAAUCCUCUUCUUUUAGCCUCCUGAGUAGCGGGAACUUCAGGUAUGUAUCCAGUUCUAUAAAACCACUUUUGUGGGCAGGUUGAGUGUUUUAAUAAAGAUUUACAGUUAUCAUAUGUAAGAACAUAUAAGAGGAAGGAAGUCCUAUGUAUGAGAAAACAUAGUUUCAACCUAAAUGCCUAGGUUAUGUUCCAGAAAUCUAUAUUUUUUUAGGUGAAUUUUUUGAAAUCAGAGUGUAUUUCUCCCUAGAACAUUGUUAUGUAAUUCAUCUUUUUUUUAAAAAUGUGAAAUAUCACUAAAAGGAACACUUAGCCCUGGGACGUUAGGGAUUCCUAAUUCUAAAUCUAUGGUCCUCUGCCCUUCUGAGUCUAGCUUUCCUGAGAGGUUUGAGAGCUGUAUGGCAUGGGGAAUGGGAAAGACUUGCUUAUAUGUGGAAAUAGCCUAAUAACUUCUUCUUGGUGUUGAAUUAUGAAGGUGCCAACAGCUAAGAAGGGAAAAGAUACCAGGCAAGACCAGCAGGGCUGUAUCAUGGAGCUUCACAUUCAGAGGGCUUCAUAAAUUUAAGCUUUUGAGAAUUCUCUCAAAUAUGGCUAGAUAUAAA
rnacentral:lncRNA from 1 species